AUGAGACUGUUCUUCAAGCUCUUCGCCGUCUUGGCCAUCAUGGCUGCUCUGUCGGCCACAAAUGUGCCGUCGCCGCUUGGUGUAUGGGGGAGGACGCCGGGGAGAGCCCCACCUUCGCCGAAGUCGUCCCCGCGUAGGAGUUCCGCGAGGCCGACUCGUCCCCGGCCACCGCCUCCGCCACCGGCGCAGAAGGGCAGAGUGAGGCCACUGCGUUCACCGCCCCCGCCUCCACCACCACCAUAUCGCCAACGAGGCGUCCACCCUACGCAGUCUCCUGCACCGCCGCUACCGUGCCACUAG
rnacentral:rRNA from 1 species